CAGCCGCCGCGGGAAUACGGAGGGAGCUAGCGUUGUUCGGAAUCACUGGGCGUAAAGCGCACGUAGGCGGCUAUUCAAGUCAGGGGUGAAAGCCCGGGGCUCAACCCCGGAACUGCCUUUGAAACUAGAUAGCUUGAAUCUUGGAGAGGCGAGUGGAAUUCCGAGUGUAGAGGUGAAAUUCGUAGAUAUUCGGAAGAACACCAGUGGCGAAGGCGACUCGCUGGACAAGUAUUGACGUUGAGGUGCGAAAGCGUGGGGAGCAAACAGGAUUAGAUACCCGCGUAGUCCCUGUCUCUUAUAC
rnacentral:rRNA from 1 species